UACGAAGGGGGCAAGCGUUGUUCGGAAUUACUGGGCGUAAAGGGCGCGUAGGCGGCGCAUCAAGUCAGGCGUGAAAGCCCCGGGCUCAACCCGGGAAUUGCGCUUGAUACUGGUGUGCUAGAGUCCGGGAGAGGUAAGCGGAAUUCCGAGUGUAGAGGUAAAAUUCGUAGAUAUUCGGAAGAACACCAGUGGCGAAGGCGGCUUACUGGACCGGUACUGACGCUAAGGCGCGAAAGCGUGGGGAGCAAACAGG
rnacentral:rRNA from 1 species